UGGGGAAUCUUCCGCAAUGGACGAAAGUCUGACGGAGCAACGCCGCGUGAGUGAAGAAGGUCUUCGGAUUGUAAAGCUCUGUCGUUUGGGACGAAUGUGGGAUGUGUGAAUAAUGCAUUCUAAUGACGGUACCAAAGGAGGAAGCCACGGCUAACUACGUGCCAGCAGCCGCGGUAAUACGUAGGUGGCAAGCGUUGUCCGGAAUUAUUGGGCGUAAAGGGCGUGUAGGUGGAUAAUUAAGUCGUGUGUCUAAGUGCGGGGCUCAACCCCGUAUGGGCGCAGGAAACUGGUUAUCUUGAGUGCAGGAGAGGAAAGUGGAAUUCCCAGUGUAGCGGUGAAAUGCGUAGAUAUUGGGAGGAACACCAGUGGCGAAGGCGACUUUCUGGACUGUGUCUGACACUGAGGCGCGAAAGCUAGGGGAGCGAACGGG
rnacentral:rRNA from 3 species